CAUGUGUUGACAUUCUUUUGACUGUAGCUCCUUAACCUUAAAUUAACGUAUUUCCAGUGAAUUCUAAAGCAGAUAAAAGUGUUGCAUAACGUUAAAUGUUGCAUAAGCCACAAAACCGAUAUAAAAUGCUGCUUUUCUGUCUGUCAAAUUUUAAUGUCAAGUUUACAAAUAAUAAUGAGCUGUGAGCUGCAAUGAAUAUGUCACGGUGGCCUCUGUCAGUGCUCCUCCCCCUCCCCUCUCACUGUGCACCUGAUGAUUGGAACCAGCUGUGGACACUCUGCUCAUCACCUCACCGCCUUCUUAAGGGGAUCCAGACCUGCAGUCAUCGCCAGUCCGUUGCCUACCUCGGUUUCCAGAUCCACGAGUGUCCACCUGGGAGAUCUUCAGCUCGCUCCACACCAGCCUCGCCUCGAAGUCACGCCACGUUCCUCGCUCACCUCGGUUCCCAAGACAUCAGACAGUGCGCGGCGACCCGCACCGCACGUCUCGCUCCGCUCCAGCCACGCCACGCUCUCAGCUCAGCCCUCAAGCUCCUACGAGCCACGCCGACUCUUCGCCAGAGAUCCAAGCCAGCACUAAGUACCACCAGAACUGUUAUCUCCUGCCUGGAUAUUAAAGACUCUUUGUUAAUCGCCA